rnacentral:rRNA from 1 species
CAAAGGAGCAAUCCGCUGAAAGAUGGGCUCGCGUCCGAUUAGGUAGUUGGCGGGGCAACGGCCCACCAAGCCGACGAUCGGUAGCCGGACUGAGAGGUUGAACGGCCACAUUGGGACUGAGACGCGGCCCAGACUCCUACGGGAGGCAGCAGUGAGGGAUAUUGGUCAAUGGGGGAAACCCUGAACCAGCAACGCCGCGUGAGGGAAGACGGUUUUCGGAUUGUAAACCUCUGUCCUCUGUGAAGAUGAUGACGGUAGCAGAGGAGGAAGCUCCGGCUAACUACGUGCCAGCAGCCGCGGUAAUACGUAGGGAGCAAGCGUUGUCCGGAUUUACUGGGUGUAAAGGGUGCGUAGGCGGCUUUGCAAGUCAGAAGUGAAAUCCAUGGGCUUAACCCAUGAACUGCUUUUGAAACUGCAGAGCUUGAGUGGAGUAGAGGUAGGCGGAAUUCCCGGUGUAGCGGUGAAAUGCGUAGAGAUCGGGAGGAACACCAGUGGCGAAGGCGGCCUGCUGGGCUCUAACUGACGCUGAGGCACGAAAGCGUGGGUAGCAAACAGGAUUAGAUACCCUGGUAGUCCACGCUGUAAACGAUGAUUACUAGGUGUGGGUGGACUGACCCCAUCC